rnacentral:rRNA from 1 species
GCGCACCAGUCGCGAAAACUUCACACUGUGCGAAAGCACGAUGAGGGAAUCCCAAGUGCUUGCACGUAAGUGUAAGCUGUUUCUCUGUUUAAAACGCAGAGAGAGUAAGGGCUGGGUAAGACGGGUGCCAGCCGCCGCGGUAAUACCUGCAGCCCAAGUGGUGACCGUUAUUAUUGGGCCUAAAACGUCCGUAGCCGGUUUAAUAAAUGCCUGGGUAAAUCGUGUAGCUUAACUAUACGAAUUCCGGGUAGACUGUUAAACUCGAGACCGGGAGAAGUUAGAGGUACUCCUGGGGUAGAGGUGAAAUUCUGUAAUCCUAGGGGGACCACCAGUGGCGAAGGCGUCUAACUAGAACGGGUCUGACGGUGAGGGACGAAGCCCUGGGGCGCAAACGGGAUUAGAUACCCGGGUAGU